rnacentral:sRNA from 1 species
UAGCCCCGAUAGUAACGGUUACCCCGCAACAAGCAUUGGGAAAAGCUUUGGAGUGAGGAGUAUGAGUGGAUAGCGGGAACAAGC